rnacentral:lncRNA from 1 species
UGCAUGCUUUUUAUAAUUGUAUUUUUUCUUUUACACAUAGCCAAGUACUCAACUGUGCACUAAGUCCUGGACUUCAUUAGAAUGCCUCAGACCCAUCUGGUUGGAGCAAUUUGUUAAAUCCAUGGCAAUUGCACUAACAAGCUGAGAUACACCCAGAACCUCUACAACAGGAGCAGAUAGUCCUUUAUUCUCUAAUUAACAUCACUUCUCCACAGUGUCUGGAUUAUGUUUGCAGCAGAUUCAGCCUUGUGCAGCAGGCCCAGGAUGGUACGGUUUGGUGACUAUUGUUAAUUGAUAUUGUAUCAUUAUAGUACAGUCAACCCUUUCUUUCCAUGCCCCCGUCCUUGUUCAGCCAUUAAAAUAAUACUUUCAGGUUAAAAAUGCUAUGUUUUUAAAGCUUAUUGCAUGUGAAUAACACUGUUGUGGCACAUUAAAAUGUCACUAUGCUAAGAAGAGUGAUAAAAAAUUGAAUAAAUAUUGCUGUGUUUAGACUGUUCCCGUUUGU